rnacentral:sRNA from 1 species
GCUGGGCAUGGUGGCUCAUGCCUGUAAUCCCAGCAGCUGGGAAGCUGAGGCAGGAGGACUGUGAGUUCAAAGCCAGCCUCAGCCACUUAGUGAGGCCCUAAGCAACUUAAUGAGACCCUGUCUCAA